rnacentral:rRNA from 1 species
UACGGGGGGGGCAAGCGUUGUUCGGAAUUACUGGGCGUAAAGGGCUCGUAGGCGGCCAACUAAGUCAGACGUGAAAUCCCUCGGCUUAACCGGGGAACUGCGUCUGAUACUGGAUGGCUUGAGUGUGGGAGAGGGAUGCGGAAUUCCAGGUGUAGCGGUGAAAUGCGUAGAUAUCUGGAGGAACACCGGUGGCGAAGGCGGCAUCCUGGACCGCGACUGACGCUGAGGAGCGAAAGCCAGGGGAGCAAACGGG